rnacentral:rRNA from 1 species
UACGUAGGGUCCGAGCGUUGUCCGGAGUUACUGGGCGUAAAGCGCGCGCAGGUGGUCGAUUAAGCCCGGCGUGAAAGCCCCCGGCUCAACCGGGGAGGGUCGUCGGGGACUGGUGGACUUGAGGGCGGCAGGGGCUGGUGGAAUCCCCGGUGUAGUGGUGAAAUGCGUAGAUAUCGGGAGGAACACCAGUGGCGAAGGCGACUACCUGGCCUGUUCUUGACGCUGAGGCGCGAAAGCUAGGGGAGCAAACGGG